AUUGAACGCUGGCGGCAGGCUUAACACAUGCAAGUCGAACGGUAGCAGGGAGAAGGCUUGCUUUCUUUGCUGACGAGUGGCGGACGGGUGAGUAAUGCUUGGGAAUCUGGCUUAUGGAGGGGGAUAACGACGGGAAACUGUCGCUAAUACCGCGUAGUGUCGAGAGACGAAAGACCGGGACCGCAAGGCCGGUUGCCAUAAGAUGAGCCCAAGUGGGAUUAGGUAGUUGGUGGGGUAAAGGCCUACCAAGCCUGCGAUCUCUAGCUGGUCUGAGAGGAUGGCCAGCCACACUGGAACUGAGACACGGUCCAGACUCCUACGGGAGGCAGCAGUGGGGAAUAUUGCGCAAUGGGGGCAACCCUGACGCAGCCAUGCCGCGUGAAUGAAGAAGGCCUUCGGGUUGUAAAGUUCUUUCGGUGAUGAGGAAGGCGGUUAGUUUAAUAGGCUAAUCGAUUGACGUUAAUCACAGAAGAAGCACCGGCUAACUCCGUGCCAGCAGCCGCGGUAAUACGGAGGGUGCGAGCGUUAAUCGGAAUAACUGGGCGUAAAGGGCACGCAGGCGGUUGCUUAAGUGAGGUGUGAAAUCCCCGGGCUUAACCUGGGAAUUGCACUUCAGACUGGGCAG
rnacentral:rRNA from 1 species